GUUCGUCUCUAGCGGGUGGUGCUUCGCAACAGACCAUGUCAAGCAGGGAAAGUAACAGUCAACUGCCACCCCCCUUCAGUAUCGACAACCGGUUAUGAAAAGGCCACGAGCCUGCCGCUGGUAGUCUCUCUCAGUUUAUUCAGGCGUUGAUUCAUUGGUAUUUCUACAAUGGGGCGUGGCCUGAUGACCCGAAAAAAAGUGAAUUCAACGCUGGCGGUCGUGCGCCACUGCAGGAGACGGGAACAGCCUGAGGGCGCCUUUACCAGGAGUUGCACACUCUGAUUGCUGCAUAGCUGGUUUUCUCCAGUCAAGGAAACUGUACUAGGUAUCUAUUGACUGACUGGAUUUUAAAUAAGAGAUACUGGGGCUGUCGGAUGCGACUCUUGACACUGUACAUAAUUUUUUUAUCGCUAGCGCCGGGACUGUAUACUGUGUACCUACGGUAGUACUAUCAUGGCUCUUCUUCAAAAUAAACUUCAUGGAAAACCUACAUUUCGCAUGUUUGGUUGACAUUUCACCGCCCGCCUGUAACUGUUUUUAAACAGUGAUUAACAUUUCCUUUCCUUUACGCACUCAGGGCAUGCAAUACCAACCAGAUAAAAAGUGAAGCUAGACUCCCUGGUACGCAUUAUAAACUGGGAUUCCUCAGUUUGUACAAACUACCUUUUUCUGUGAAGGGGGGACUAGACUGUGAAGGCCUUUGUUUACCGGAUCCAAGUUCUAUUGUGUUCGCAGAGCACAGAUAAGAUGAUAGCAAUUUGGGGAAAUAGAACUUAUUGAACACCAUGAAUUAAUGCAACAAAGACAAGGGUUUUCUGGGAUCAUUCUUGGCAUAACGUUAAAUCCAAGAAUAUGCAUAGGUUAGAACAUUAACAGAAUACUAGGCAAGAGUACAACAAAUCAGAUACUUACGAAAGGUGAAAAACCUAUGGAUACAUGGAAAACCACGGUUCAUCCCCGAUUUAUUUAACUCAGAG
rnacentral:lncRNA from 1 species